CCUCCCAAAGUGCUGGGAUUAUAUGCGUGAGCCACCAUACCCAGCCCAAGCAAAGCAGGCACAGCUGGAAGGCAGAGCACAGAUCCUCCAAAAUCAAAGAUCCCAUUUUUACGCCAAAUCCUGGGUCC